GCAGCAGGCACGCAAAUUACCCACUCCCGGCACGGGGAGGUAGUGACAAAAAAUAACGAUACGGGACUCUAUUGAGGCCCCGUAAUCGGAAUGAGUACACUUUAAAUCCUUUAACAAGGAUCCAUUGGAGGGCAAGUCUGGUGCCAGCAGCCGCGGUAAUUCCAGCUCCAAUAGCGUAUAUUAAAGUUGUUGCGGUUAAAAAGCUCGUAGUUGGUUCUGCGUGCCACGCUGUCGGUUCGCCGCCUGUCGGUGUAACUGGCAUGUCGUGGCAUGUCCUGUCGGUGGUAAACGGGGUCCCUGGUACGACGUAGGCUUUUAUAGCUGAAAUCUGUACCGUGUGUGUUCCCGUUUACCGAUCUCUCCUACUCCGGUGCUCUUAAACGAGUGUCGAGGUAGGCCGACACGUUCACUUUGAACAAAUUAGAGUGCUUAAAGCAGGCUAAAAUAUCUGCCUGAAUAGUGGUGCAUGGAAUGAUAAAACAGGACCUCAGUUCUAUUUUGUUGGUUUUAGGAAUAUGAGGUAAUGAUCAAUGUGGACUGGCGGGGGCAUUCGUAUUGCGACGUUAGAGGUGAAAUUCUUGGAUCGUCGCAAGACGCACUAGAGCGAAAGCAUUUGCCAAGUAUGUCUUAAUUGAUCAAGAACGAAAGUUAGAGGUUCGAAGGCGAUCAGAUACCGCCCUAGUUCUAACCAUAAACGAUGCCAGCCAGCGAUCCGCCGAUGUUCCUUUAAUGACUCGGCGGGGAGCUUCUACUCGGGAAACCAAAGCUUUUGGGUUCCGGGGGAAGUAUGGUUGCAAAGCUGAAACUUAAAGGAAUUGACGGAAGGGCACCACCAGGAGUGGAGCCUGCGGCUUAAUUUGACUCAACACGGGAAACCUCACCAGGCCAGGACAUUGGAAGGAUUGACAGAUUGAUAGCUCUUUCUUGAUUCAGUGGGUAGUGGUGCAUGGCCGUUC
rnacentral:rRNA from 1 species